GACAGAGGUGGCAAGCGUUGUUCGGAUUUACUGGGCUUAAAGGGCGUGUAGGCGUCUUGAUAAGUCAGAUGUGGAAGCCCUGGGCUCAACCCAGGAAGUGCAUUUGAAACUGUCAGGAUUGAGUCAUGCAAGGGAGGACGGAAUUCCUGGUGUAGCGGUGAAAUGCGUAGAUAUCAGGAGGAAUACCAGUGGCGAAGGCGGCCUCCUGGCUCGACACUGACACUGAGGUGCGAAAGCGUGGGGAGCAAACAGG
rnacentral:rRNA from 1 species